rnacentral:rRNA from 1 species
CUAAAAAUUUAGCCCAACCCUCCCUCGUACUUCCUCCCAAAAAUUAAAAUAUUUUAACAAUUUAGUAAGGACGACCGAAAAAUUUAUUGGAGCAAUACACAUACCGCAAGGAAAAAUUGAAAUAAGAAUGAAAUAACAUUUAAGCACACAACAGUAGAGAUUCAUACUC